rnacentral:lncRNA from 1 species
GCCCAGCACAGCCACCCCACCUCUGCAACUGGGAUCAAGAACUGGGGUUCUCAGGAUGUCCUGAUGUCUCCAGGCCUCGGUGGACCCAAUGACCCCAACACAUGUCCCAAGAAGGGAACGACCUGGGGAGACGGGACAUCACGGCGGUGACACAGCCCCUGAACCAGGGUCAUUCCGGAUUAGACAGGAGGCUACGGUGCUAGCAAUCACAGACACGUUUCUCCCGUUCACCGCCUAACUUUGCUGACAGUGGGUUUGGCUGCGGACACAUCUGACACCUCCAGGCUCUCAGCCCAGCAGUGUCCUUCGGCGCUUCUACACUCAGAAAGCCCCCAGAGUCUGAAAGUGGCUUUGCUGUGCUUGAUGCUUCUCCUUCUUCACUGUGAGGUCCGUCUGGGUUUCCUGCUGGUGUUAUGUGGGGGGGAGGCUGAAACUUGAUCUUCCUGCAGGUGGCCCCGAGGAGAGACCAUCACUGCUUGAACCGUGCCUUGGUCUCCUCGUGGAUUCUUGCACAGCUUUGGCCCUGGCCAUUUCGGGAGACACUUACACUUCGGUUAGGAUAAUCGCCUUCCUCCAAAGUGUGCUUACAGUGGUGAUAAUAAGCUUCACUUGGUGCACACCCAUGAGUGUGGCUGCUCGCAUGGAAAGGCGGGAGGGCACAGCGAGCACCCGUGUCUCCGGUGAGAAGACUUAGGACGGCCCUCAGGGACAACCACGUAUUUCUCCUUCCUGUUGGACCUAUCAGCAACUUCUUAAGCUUCUUGUGGCAGUCCGGGUUCUCCAGAGACACGGAAGCCACAGGAGGGACAGGAUUCGUUGGGACGGGAGAAACAUCCAGAAAGCAGGACAUCACAAGCCUGUGGGAGCUCGGGCGGCUGGUGACAAGACCCGAGGCAAGUUCUCGUGGGAUGAGCCCCCUGGCUGUUGCCACGGAGAGAGCAAUGACUCCAACCCCGGGUGUUUGCCAGUGUCUGUAGUUAGACGCCCCUACACGGCCAACUUCAAGCCGCCCAAGGGCUGGCCCUGAACGUGAGCUUGGCGAGAGCUGCAAGCAGCAUUUUCACCAGCCAGAAGCAGCACAGAGUGUCC